AAUGAACGCUGGCGGCGUGCUUAACACAUGCAAGUCGCACGAGAACGGUUUGGCUUGCCAGACCAAGUAAAGUGGCGCACGGGUGAGUAACGCGUGGGUAAUCUACCCCUGAAUUUGGGAUAACACUUCGAAAGGAGUGCUAAUACCGGAUAACAUCAUUUUGUCUUUGGGCGAGGUGAUCAAAGAUGGCCUCUACAUGUAAGCUAUUGUUUGGGGAUGAGCCCGCGUACCAUUAGCUAGUUGGUAGGGUAAUGGCCUACCAAGGCUACGAUGGUUAGCUGGUCUGAGAGGAUGAUCAGCCACACUGGAACUGAAACACGGUCCAGACUCCUACGGGAGGCUG
rnacentral:rRNA from 1 species